rnacentral:hammerhead_ribozyme from 1 species
AUUCAACUGAUAAGUCCCAAAUAAGACGAAGUAUGCGUCUUGAAU